rnacentral:rRNA from 1 species
UACAGAGGGGGCUAGCGUUGUUCGGAAUUACUGGGCGUAAAGGGCGCGUAGGUGGCCUGUUAAGUCGAACGUGAAAUCCCCGGGCUCAACCCGGGAACUGCGUCCGAGACUGGCAGGCUCGAAUCCGGGAGAGGGAUGUGGAAUUCCAGGUGUAGCGGUGAAAUGCGUAGAGAUCGGGUGGAACACCAGCGGCGAAGGCGGCAUCCUGGCCCUGUACUGACGCUGAGGCGCGAUAGCGUGGGGAGCAAACGGG